rnacentral:lncRNA from 10 species
UAAGUCAUAAAAGCCAUUGACACCAAGGCCCUUGGGUGGAGACAUCUCAAAUGAGAAUCUUAUAACCUGCUUCAGAGGAGAAAGGUGAGGGGAAGGAGAGAGUGAUCUUCCUGCUUCUAGUGUUUUCUCAAAUGCCACGAUGCCAUAUUUUGUGGUAGCACGUCCUGAACUCCAUCAAUACAUGUCCAUGUAUGCUUCUGCACAAGAAUGCUUGAGUUUUCCCAAUGACAUCAUAGCUGUCUUUCCCUAGAGCAAGCAAUCAAGAAGAUGAAAUGCCCCUUACGGCCUAGCCUCAGAAGUUGCACAGUGUCACCUCUGAAUAUUUUAUGGGUCACAACAAGGCCAUAAAUGCCAGAAUUUGAGAAUCUUUGGGCGCAUCUUGGGAGCUGGCUAUCACACAAUAAAAUGGUCUAAGUAUAACAGAUGCAGGAUCUAGCACUUGAACAUAGUACUAGGGAUUCUUGCUAUCAUUGGCCUGUGAUUAUGUCAGAAGGGUUUUCAGGGAGGGGUGUUGGAACCCUAGGUGCUGGGUGGCAUUGGAGGGUCAGACUGAGACCUAGGCUAUUUACUGACUGAAACUGUCAGCUGAAUAUUAAUUACACACAACGUGCGCACACACAAACACCCCUACACAGUAUUUUGGCACCUAGAAUCAUUCAAUAAAAAAAGAAUAACACUGAUGGUAGUUUCUUUUGCUGUGCAGAAGCUCUUUAGUUUAAUUAGAUCCCAUUUGUCAAUUUU